AAGAGACAGCAGUCGCCGCGGUAAUACGUAGGGUGCAAGCGUUAAUCGGAAUUACUGGGCGUAAAGCGCACGCAGGCGGUCUGACAAGUCAGAUGUGAAAUCCCCGGGCUUAACCUGGGAACUGCAUUUGAAACUGUCAGGCUGGAGUCUUGUAGAGGGGGGUGGAAUUCCAGGUGUAGCGGUGAAAUGCGUAGAGAUCUGGAGGAAUACCGGUGGCGAAGGCGGCCCCCUGGACAAAGACUGACGCUCAGGUGCGAAAGCGUGGGGAGCAAACAGGAUUAGAUACCCGCGUAGUCCCUGUCUCUUAUAC
rnacentral:rRNA from 1 species